rnacentral:rRNA from 1 species
AUGCAAGUCGAACGAAAAGCAUAACCUCGGUUAUGUGGAAAGUGGCGAACGGGUGCGUAACACGUGAGCAACCUGCCCUUGAGUACGGAAUAGCCCGCCGAAAGACGGAUUAAUGCCGUAUGUGGCCUUUCAUCGCAUGGUGUGAUGGCUAAAGCUUGUAAUGGCGCUCAAGAAUGGGCUCGCGGCCUAUCAGCUUGUUGGUGAGGUAAUAGCUCACCAAGGCUAAGACGGGUAGCUGGUCUGAGAGGAUGAUCAGCCACACCGGGACUGAGACACGGCCCGGACACCUACGGGUGGCAGCAGUUUCGAAUCAUUCACAAUGGGCGAAAGCCUGAUGGUGCAAUGCCGCGUGGAGGAUGACGGCCUUAGGGUUGUAAACUCCUGUCAUUGGGGAGCAAUAAGCAGGUUUGUAGCCUGCCCUGAGUUAACCCAAAGAGGAAGAGG